CUGUUUCUCGUAUUAAUAUAGUUUGGGCAACCUAAUUGUAUACAUCAGUUGCUAAAAUUGUCCACUACACAGUACAAAUAGGCUGUUUAUUUCGCUUUGUUUUGACCUACUCUAUCACAAAAUCACAAAUUAAUAUUGAACGUAUAAACAGUAUUUUUUACCUUUACAAAACAACGUCUUUCCAAAAUUUCUUGAGGUUUGAAGAUUCGUUCCCUGUCCUUCACUAGCCAGGAUGAUUCUUAGUACUUGUGCAACUCGAAACAAAUGUUAAAAUGUCGAAGAAAAUGCAAACACCGAGGCAAACUUCAAAACAAAAAGCUAAAAUAUUUUUGCGAAAAUCAGGGGGAUGCAAAAGUGGUAGCGGGCUCAAAAUGAGCCUUGCUCAGUGGUAAUUACCAUGAGGAUUUGGGACCAGUGGCGUCAUUCUGGCGUCAGCAAAC